CCUUUUUCCCUCUCUUUCACGCUUCAAAGCUCAGGUAUGACAGAUUUCUGUAAAAUUUCUGUAAAAUUAUCAGUCUUUCGGUGACUCUGAUUGCUAGGAGUACUUGGAAUGUGGUGAGGAGAGCUCAGUCAAUUGGAAGGAAGGUUGCUAGGAUUUGGAAAAAUGGGUUCAAAUACUCUGUGAUCUGCUCAUCCUUAAACAGAAUGAAUUGCACCGGAUCAUGCUUCCAUUUAUGAUUAACUGCUCCUUUCUAGGAAAGUAUACCACAAUCUAGAUUUGGUGGUGAUCUUCAAAAUGCCUUUUUGUACACUGGUGUGGAUGAUUGCCGAACUCAUUCACAAUUAACCAUAAACACACACACACACCUCUUGGUACUUAAGUUUAUGAGCUGAAUGCUACUUUUGCUUGGUGGAUCAACGAAAUGAGUUUGUUUUAUGGACCUUGUUUGAUGCUAUAUUGGAAUGAGCUUCUACAGGCUCCAGUUAAUGCAUUUUUUUGUCCAAUUCUAUCUCUAGAUUGAGACAUUUACGUUCGUAUUUUGCCUAUUAUUUCAGGCAAUAGUAUCCAGGCAUCAAAUAGUUGAUAUUGACUAUUUUUACCAGGGUUUGGAAACAUGAUGUCCAGAAAGGGGAUACAAUGAUUAAUGCCACUUGUGGCAAUGAUUAUGAUACUUUAGCAAUGGUCAUUAUACCUGAUAAUGAAUUAGCCAGCGUUGUAUUUAUGCAAUGGAUAUUCAGAAUGAUGCUUUAGAGAAUACUUCUUCCUUGCUAGAAGAGUUGCUCAAUCCAUACAAGGUCCAGAAGGUACAAAACACAGGAAGUCUUUAGCUAAUACAGCCUUUACAAAAGAUUUGGUCCAACCAAAGAGAAUGUAUGGGGGAUUUGAUGCACAUCUUUGCUUUUGAGGUAAUUCGAACAACAAGUUGAGUUAUAAAAGUUCUAUUUGUUCUAUUAUAGAUCAAGUAAAUCAAUUCUAAAUGAGAUUUGUACAUGUGCAAUUUGUCUACUAUAUGUAGAGGUGGAUCUCUUUUCCAAUAUCCUUCUUAUCUGCACAAUUUUUUUCUACAUUACCUUCUUCAUUUCUUUCUUCAAGUAUACAGUACAAGAUUUUCAUGUUGUCAGAGCUAUAAGCAAAUCAAUCAUGGUGUCAAAUUGAUCAUCUUUCACCACCAAUACC